UUGAACGCUGGCGGCAUGCCUUACACAUGCAAGUCGAACGGUAACGCGGGGCAACCUGGCGACGAGUGGCGAACGGGUGAGUAAUGCAUCGGAACGUGCCCAGUAGUGGGGGAUAGCCCGGCGAAAGCCGGAUUAAUACCGCAUACGAUCUCUGGAUGAAAGCGGGGGACCUGCAAGGGCCUCGCGCGAUUGGAGCGGCCGAUAUCAGAUUAGCUAGUUGGUGGGGUAAAAGCUCACCAAGGCGACGAUCUGUAGCUGGUCUGAGAGGACGACCAGCCACACUGGAACUGAGACACGGUCCAGACUCCUACGGGAGGCAGCAGUGGGGAAUUUUGGACAAUGGGCGCAAGCCUGAUCCAGCAAUGCCGCGUGCAGGAUGAAGGCCUUCGGGUUGUAAACUGCUUUUGUACGGAACGAAACGGUUCUCUUUAAUAAAGAGGGCUAAUGACGGUACCGUAAGAAUAAGCACCGGCUAACUACGU
rnacentral:rRNA from 1 species